AGAUUGCCCCCAAUGGGGCUUCCGUCCCUGAAACUAGGCCCGCUGGUGUAGUGGCGGGCCUUCUUUAGGGCGCGU
rnacentral:sRNA from 1 species